rnacentral:rRNA from 1 species
CAGCAGCCGCGGGAAUACGGAGGGGGCUAGCGUUGUUCGGAAUUACUGGGCGUAAAGCGCACGUAGGCGGCUUGGUAAGUUAGAGGUGAAAGCCUGGAGCUCAACUCCAGAAUUGCCUUUAAGACUGCCGAGCUAGCAGGUGAGAGAGGUAAGUGGAAUUCCGAGUGUAGAGGUGAAAUUCGUAGAUAUUCGGAAGAACACCAGUGGCGAAGGCGGCUUACUGGCUCAUACUGGACGCUGAGGUGCGAAAGCGUGGGGAGCAAACAGGAUUAGAUACCCGUGUAGUCCCUGUCUCUUAUAC